CCUACGGGAGGCAGCAGUGGGGAAUUUUGGACAAUGGGGGAAACCCUGAUCCAGCCAUCCCGCGUGUGCGAUGAAGGCCUUCGGGUUGUAAAGCACUUUUGGCAGGAAAGAAACGUCGUGGGUUAAUACCCCGCGAAACUGACGGUACCUGCAGAAUAAGCAC
rnacentral:rRNA from 1 species